GAGACCCACGCCAACAGUUGCCAGCAUGUCCUCCGGGAUGGUGGGGGCACUGUUGGGACCGCCUCUGCUAAAGAGGAGGAAGGAAUGGGCAACGGUAGGUCAGCAUGCCCCGAAUUAUCCGGGUUACACGCGGGCUACAAUGGUCAGGACAAUGGGUAUCGACACCGAGAGGUGAAGGCAAUCUCUUAAACCUGUCCUUAGUUCGGAUUGUGGGCUGCAACGCGCCCACAUGAAGCUGGAAUCCGUAGUAAUCGCGUCUCAAAAUGGCGCGGUGAAUAU
rnacentral:rRNA from 1 species